GGUUAAGCUACUAAGAGCACACGGUGGAUGCCUAGGCGCUAGGAGCCGAUGAAGGACGUGGCGAACAACGAUAAAGCCUCGGGGAGCUGUAAGCAAGCUGUGAUCCGGGGAUGUCCGAAUGGGGAAACCUAACUGGAUUCAUCUCCAGUUACUCACACCUGAAUACAUAGGGUGUGCAGAGGCAGACGAGGGGAACUGAAACAUCUAAGUACCCUCAGGAAAAGAAAACAAGAGUGAUUCCGUCAGUAGCGGCGAGCGAACGCGGAACAGCCCAAACCAAGAAGCUUGCUUCUUGGGGUUGUGGGACGUCUCUUUGGAGUUACAAAGGAAUGAGGUAGGCGAAGAGGUCUGGAAAGGCCCGCAAGACAAGGUGAAAGCCCUGUAGCUUAAAUCUCAUUCUCUCCGAGACGGAUCCCGAGUAGUGCGGGGCACGUGAAACCCCGUAUGAAUCUGCCAGGACCAUCUGGUAAGGCUAAAUACUCCCUAGCGACCGAUAGUGAAGCAGUACCGUGAGGGAAAGGUGAAAAGGACCCCGGAAGGGGAGUGAAAUAGAACCUGAAACCGUGUGCUUACAAAAAGUCAGAGCCCUAUUAAUGGGUGAUGGCGUGCCUUUUGUAGAAUGAACCGGCGAGUUACGUUCCCGUGCAAGGUUAAGGUGAAAAGCCGGAGCCGCAGCGAAAGCGAGUCUGAAUAGGGCGAUUAAGUACGUGGACGUAGACCCGAAACCAGGUGAUCUACCCCUGUCCAGGGUGAAGGUACGGUAACACGUACUGGAGGCCCGAACCCACGCACGUUGAAAAGUGCGGGGAUGAGGUGGGGGUAGCGGAGAAAUUCCAAUCGAACCUGGAGAUAGCUGGUUCUCCCCGAAAUAGCUUUAGGGCUAGCCUCGGAAGUUGAGUCGUGGAGGUAGAGCACUGAUUGGAUGCGGGGCCCGCAAGGGUUACCAAGUUCAGUCAAACUCCGAAUGCCACAGACUUUAUUCCGGGAGUCAGACAGUGAGUGCUAAGAUCCAUUGUCGAAAGGGAAACAGCCCAGACCAUCAGCUAAGGUCCCCAAGUGUGUGUUAAGUGGGAAAGGAUGUGAAGUUGCACAGACAACCAGGAUGUUGGCUUAGAAGCAGCCACCAUUGAAAGAGUGCGUAAUAGCUCACUGGUCGAGUGACUUUGCGCCGAAAAUGUAACGGGGCUAAACACACCACCGAAGCUAUGGCUUGAUACUUUGUAUCAGGGGUAGGGGAGCGUUGAAUGAAGAUUGAAGGUGUACCGCAAGGAGCGCUGGACCUCAUUCAAGUGAGAAUGCCGGUAUGAGUAACGAAAAGAUCAGUGAGAAUCUGAUCCGCCGAAAACCCAAGGAUUCCUGAGGAAGGCUCGUCCUCUCAGGGUAAGUCGGGACCUAAGGCGAGGCCGAAAGGCGUAGUCGACGGACAACAGGUUGAAAUUCCUGUACCACCGAAAGCCGUUAUGAGCAAUGGGAUGACGCAGGAGGAUAGUGACGCGGACUGAUGGAUGUCCGUUCAAGCAGUGAGGCUGGUAUGUAGGCAAAUCCGCAUACCGCAAGGCCAGGCUGUGAUGAGGAGCGAAAAUUGUAGUAGCGAAGGUCAUGAUUUCACACUGCCAAGAAAAGUCUCUAGCCAGGAAGCAGGUGCCCGUACCGUAAACCGACACAGGUGGGUGAGAAGAGAAUUCUAAGGCGCGCGGAAGAACUCUCGUUAAGGAACUCGGCAAAAUGACCCCGUAACUUCGGGAGAAGGGGUGCCCCGGUAGUGUGAAUAGCACGAGGGGGCCGCAGUGAAAAGGCCCAAGCGACUGUUUAGCAAAAACACAGGUCUGUGCGAAGCCGCAAGGCGAAGUAUACGGGCUGACGCCUGCCCGGUGCUGGAAGGUUAAGGGGAGUGGUUAGCGCAAGCGAAGCUAUGAACCGAAGCCCCAGUAAACGGCGGCCGUAACUAUAACGGUCCUAAGGUAGCGAAAUUCCUUGUCAGGUAAAUUCUGACCCGCACGAAUGGCGUAACGAUUUGGGCGCUGUCUCAACGAGAGAUCCGGUGAAAUUUUAAUACCUGUGAAGAUGCAGGUUACCCGCGACAAGACGGAAAGACCCCAUGGAGCUUUACUGCAACUUGAUAUUGAACUGGGGUGCGAUUUGUACAGGAUAGGUGGGAGCCGUAGAAACCGGAGCGCAAGCUUCGGUUGAGGCGCCGUUGGGAUACCACCCUGAUCGCAUUUGAGUUCUAACCUCGUACCGUGAUCCGGUACAGGGACCGUGUCAGGUGGGCAGUUUGACUGGGGCGGUCGCCUCCUAAAGUGUAACGGAGGCGCCCUAAGGUUCCCUCAGAAUGGUUGGAAAUCAUUCGAAGAGUGUAAAGGCAUAAGGGAGCUUGACUGCGAGACAGACACGUCGAGCAGGGACGAAAGUCGGGCUUAGUGAUCCGGUGGUACCGCAUGGAAGGGCCAUCGCUCAACGGAUAAAAGCUACCCUGGGGAUAACAGGCUUAUCUCCCCCAAGAGUCCACAUCGACGGGGAGGUUUGGCACCUCGAUGUCGGCUCAUCGCAUCCUGGGGCUGAAGUAGGUCCCAAGGGUUGGGCUGUUCGCCCAUUAAAGCGGUACGCGAGCUGGGUUCAGAACGUCGUGAGACAGUUCGGUCCCUAUCUGUCGUGGGCGUAGGAAAUUUGAGAGGAGCUGUCCUUAGUACGAGAGGACCGGGAUGGACGCACCGCUGGUGUACCAGUUGUUCCGCCAGGAGCAUCGCUGGGUAGCUACGUGCGGAAGGGAUAAGCGCUGAAAGCAUCUAAGCGUGAAGCCCCCCUCAAGAUGAGAUUUCCCAGUAUGUAAGACCCCUUGUAGACGACGAGGUUGAUAGGUUGGGGGUGGAAGUGCCGCAAGGCAUGGAGCUGACCAAUACUAAUCGGUCGAGGGCUUAUCCAA
rnacentral:rRNA from 1 species